GUCCGGAGCCUGGCUCGGAGCUGGAGGCAGGAGGAGAGAGACAAGAGUGAGAUUUCAGCGUCUCCAGGUGCCAGUGACCUUUGCGGAGGUGGCUGUGUAUUUCACCGCAGGGCAGGGGGCUCUGCUGGACCCCACUCAGAGAGCCCUCUGCAGGGACAUCAUGCAGGAGAAUGAUGAGCCUGUGACCUCGCUGGGACUCCGCACUCCCAAACCUGACCUGAUCGCCUGGCUGGAAGCAGGGGAAGAGCCGUGGGUCCCGGAUCUCCAGGCCAAAGCAACAUCCCAAGAGGCACCUGCACAGCAGGUGAUGAGACAAUGAGUGAGAACGAGGAGGGGAAUCCACAGCAGCAAGGUCUUGGGAAAGUGGAACUACAGGAGACAUUUAUGAGAAGGGAAUUUUUCCCAGUGCUUGGAACAGAGAAAGCCUGGAGUAAUCAGCACAGGUCAGUGAGGAAGCUGGGAAACAGCUCUUGGAAGAAAGUGGAUAAAUCCAUUGAAUGUGGAAGAGAAGGCAAUGGUCCCCAGGAAACCACAGCCUAGCAGACAAAUCACAAAGAAAAGAAACCCUAUAAAUGCUUAGGCUGUGGGAAAAGCUUCAGUCAGCAGUCUGGCUUUAUAAAGCAUGGGAGAAUCCAUACAGGAGAGAGACCUUAUGAAUGCGUAAAUUGUAGGAAAACUUUCAGUCAGCACUCAGGCCUUAUUUGCCAUAGGAGAAUCCACACAGGAGAGAGACUAUAUAAGUACUUUUAUUGUGGGAAAAGUUUCAGUGCACCAUCAGCCCUUAUUGUACACCAAAGAAUCCACACAGGAGAGCUACCCUAUAAAUGCCCUGAGUGUGGGAAAAGCUUCAGUCAGCACUCAGGCCUUAUUUGAUGCAGGAGAAUCCACGUGGGAGAGAGACCCUAUAAAUGCUUGGAUGAAAGGAAAAGCUUCAGCCCAGCUCAUAACUUCAUAAACAUCUGAGAAUCCUCACCAGACAGAAUCUAUGAAUGCUCUGACUUUGGAAAAAGUUUCAUUUGAAGAUCAAACCUUGCUUCACAUCAGACAGUCCACAUAAGAGAGAACCCAUAAAUGCUUGGAUUGUGGGAAAAGCUUCAAUAAAUGCAGGAAAAGAUUCAGUCCGAGUUCACACAUUAUUCCCUGUCAGGUAAUUCAGAGAAGAAGGAGCUUGAAUGUGGGGGAAGCUUCACUUGGUGUUCACACGGCAUCAAGCAUCAGCAGGUCCAUAAAGCGAAGAGCCUCUCAGAUGUCCUUAGCAUGGAAAACGAUUCAUUUGUUCUCUCAGUGCCCUGACUAGGGCUGGCCAUAGUAAAAACUCCAUUAAUUCCCACUAAUUCCCACACACAGCAGUGGCAUUUUGUUCCCAAGUAUCCAGUUGCCCAUGUC